rnacentral:rRNA from 1 species
UACGUAGGGGGCGAGCGUUGUCCGGAGUUACUGGGCGUAAAGGGCGUGCAGGCGGUGCGGUAAGUUUAGCGUGACAGUCUCCGGCUUAACUGGAGAAGGCCGCUGAAAGCUGCUGGACUUGAGGGCCAGAGAGGGACAUAGAAUUCCGGGUGGAGUGGUGAAAUGCGUAGAUAUCCGGAGGAAUACCAAAGGCGAAGGCAGUGUCCUGGCUGGCAACUGACGCUGAGGCGCGAAAGCUAGGGGAGCGAACAGG